rnacentral:rRNA from 2 species
CAUGUCCUUUUGAUAAUAAUUUAAGGUCUAAUCUGCUCAAUGAUAUAUAAAUUGCCGCAGUAUUUUGACUGUGCAAAGGUAGCAAAAUAAUUAGUUUCUUGAUUAGGAACUGGGAUGAAUGAUUGGACAAGAAAGUUUCUGUCUCUUUUUUAAUUAUUUUUGAAUUUUAUUUUUAAGUGAAAAAGCUUAGAUUAUUAUAAAAGACGAGAAGACCCUAUAGAGUUUAAUAAUUUUAUUUAAUAAAUUUUUAGGAUAAAUAUAUUAUAAUAAAUUAUUUGAUUGGGGUGAUUCGAAAAUAUAAUGAAUUUUUUGUUAAUUUAGUUAAUAAUUUUUAAUUUUUUUAUUUAGGUUAUUAAAUUAAAAAUAAAUUACCUUAGGGAUAACAGCGUAAUUUUUCUUGAAAGUUCUUAUUUAAAGGAAAGUUUGCGACCUCGAUGUUGGAUUAAAAUUAAUUUUUGGUGCAGUAACUUAAAAAUUAGGUCUGUUCGACCUUUAAAAUUUUACAUGAUCUGAGUUUAAACCGGUGUGAGCCAGGUUGGAUUCUAUCUUUAGAAAAUUAAAUAUAUUUUAGUACGAAAGGACCAAAUAUAAAUUAAAUUAAUUG